AAUCCAUAGGUUAAUGAGGCGAACCGGGGGAACUGAAACAUCUAAGUACCCCGAGGAAAAGAAAUCAACCGAGAUUCCCCCAGUAGCGGCGAGCGAACGGGGAGGAGCCCAGAGCCUGAAUCAGCAUGUGUGUUAGUGGAAGCGUCUGGAAAGGCGCGCGAUACAGGGUGACAGCCCCGUACACAAAAGCGCAUGUGCUGUGAGCUCGAUGAGUAGGGCGGGACACGUGGUAUCCUGUCUGAAUAUGGGGGGACCAUCCUCCAAGGCUAAAUACUCCUGACUGACCGAUAGUGAACCAGUACCGUGAGGGAAAGGCGAAAAGAACCCCGGCGAGGGGAGUGAAAAAGAACCUGAAACCGUGUACGUACAAGCAGUGGGAGCACAGGUUUACCUGUGUGACUGCGUACCUUUUGUAUAAUGGGUCAGCGACUUAUAUUCUGUAGCAAGGUUAACCGUAUAGGGGAGCCGUAGGGAAACCGAGUCUUAACCGGGCGUUAAGUUGCAGGGUAUAGACCCGAAACCCGGUGAUCUAGCCAUGGGCAGGUUGAAGGUUGGGUAACACUAACUGGAGGACCGAACCGACUAAUGUUGAAAAAUUAGCGGAUGACCUGUGGCUGGGGGUGAAAGGCCAAUCAAACCGGGAGAUAGCUGGUUCUCCCCGAAAGCUAUUUAGGUAGCGCCUCGUGAAUUCAUCUCCGGGGGUAGAGCACUGUUUCGGCUAGGGGGCCAUCCCGGCUUACCAACCCGAUGCAAACUGCGAAUACCGGAGAAUGUUAUCACGGGAGACACACGGCGGGUGCUAACGUCCGUCGUGAAGAGGGAAACAACCCAGACCGCCAGCUAAGGUCCCAAAGUCAUGGUUAAGUGGGAAACGAUGUGGGAAGGCCCAGACAGCCAGGAUGUUGGCUUAGAAGCAGCCAUCAUUUAAAGAAAGCGUAAUAGCUCACUGGUCGAGUCGGCCUGCGCGGAAGAUGUAACGGGGCUAAACCAUGCACCGAAGCUGCGGCAGCGACGUUUAUGCGUUGUUGGGUAGGGGAGCGUUCUGUAAGCCUGCGAAGGUGGCCUGUGAGGGUUGCUGGAGGUAUCAGAAGUGCGAAUGCUGACAUAAGUAACGAUAAAGCGGGUGAAAAGCCCGCUCGCCGGAAGACCAAGGGUUCCUGUCCAACGUUAAUCGGGGCAGGGUGAGUCGACCCCUAAGGCGAGGCCGAAAGGCGUAGUCGAUGGGAAACGGGUUAAUAUUCCCGUACUUGGUGUUACUGCGAAGGGGGGACGGAGAAGGCUAUGUUGGCCGGGCGACGGUUGUCCCGGUUUAAGCGUGUAGGCUGGUUUUCCAGGCAAAUCCGGAAAAUCAAGGCUGAGGCGUGACGACGAGGCACUACGGUGCUGAAGCAACAAAUGCCCUGCUUCCAGGAAAAGCCUCUAAGCAUCAGGUAACAUCAAAUCGUACCCCAAACCGACACAGGUGGUCAGGUAGAGAAUACCAAGGCGCUUGAGAGAACUCGGGUGAAGGAACUAGGCAAAAUGGUGCCGUAACUUCGGGAGAAGGCACGCUGACACGUAGGUGAAGUGAUUUACUCAUGGAGCUGAAGUCAGUCGAAGAUACCAGCUGGCUGCAACUGUUUAUUAAAAACACAGCACUGUGCAAACACGAAAGUGGACGUAUACGGUGUGACGCCUGCCCGGUGCCGGAAGGUUAAUUGAUGGGGUCAGCGCAAGCGAAGCUCCUGAUCGAAGCCCCGGUAAACGGCGGCCGUAACUAUAACGGUCCUAAGGUAGCGAAAUUCCUUGUCGGGUAAGUUCCGACCUGCACGAAUGGCGUAAUGAUGGCCAGGCUGUCUCCACCCGAGACUCAGUGAAAUUGAACUCGCUGUGAAGAUGCAGUGUACCCGCGGCAAGACGGAAAGACCCCGUGAACCUUUACUAUAGCUUGACACUGAACAUUGAGCCUUGAUGUGUAG
rnacentral:rRNA from 1 species